AGAUAUGGCUACAUAUCUAUGGUUGCCCACUGAAGCUAAGCUGGGCUGAACCUGGUCAGUACCUGGAUGGGAGACCUCCUGGGGAAACUAGGUUGCUGCUG
rnacentral:rRNA from 1 species